AAGAAUGGCCAAAAUAAAAUUCAAAAUAUAAGUUCAGGUACGUUAUAAGAAUGCAACAUGUGUCACAAAGAACCUGACCUGUCCUAGGAUUUUAACAUUGUGAGUAUGUCAAGAACUUAAAAUGGAACCGGAUUUUAGUUAUUUAAUAUUGGAAGACCAAAUAAUGGAGAUAAUCAUGUAGAGCACAAGACGUGAACUAAGAGGCAAAUUUUGGGAAAAUAGUCGC
rnacentral:lncRNA from 1 species